UACGUAGGGUGCGAGCGUUAAUCGGAAUUACUGGGCGUAAAGCGUGCGCAGGCGGUUUUGUAAGUCAGAUGUGAAAUCCCCGGGCUUAACCUGGGAACUGCGUUUUGAAACUACAAGGCUAGAGUGUGGCAGAGGGGGGUGGAAUUCCACGUGUAGCAGUGAAAUGCGUAGAGAUGUGGAGGAACACCGAUGGCGAAGGCAGCCCCCUGGGUUAACACUGACGCUCAGGCACGAAAGCGUGGGGAGCAAACAGG
rnacentral:rRNA from 1 species